AAUUAUUCCAGCUAUCGAUGUUUUAUAUGUUUAUUAUGCUAUAUUUUAUUGUAAUAAAAAGAAAAUUAAUUAAUAAAAAAUGGAAAAACCCAGAAUGCGGACUAAAUGUUUAUAUUAGAUUAUUAUUGUUUCGUUAUCGGCUUGUUUAUUAAAUGUAUUAAAGGCAUAGAUUAUCGAGUAUCGACCUACAUAUAACCUGCAGUACCUACCUAUGUACUUUACGGUCAGUAUGACUAUAAGUUAUAACAACGAUAUCGACUAUUUCAAAAUUUAAGAUUUAGUGAUGUAAUUUGAUACCUCUUCUAUGAAGUAUUCACCGAUCAAUUUAGUGGAGAUUAAGAGUACCUACGUUUUCUAUGUAUAAAAAAUUAAAAACAUUUUAUCAGACAAUAGGAUCAGUUUCACUAUCGCAAAUCAAGGGAUAGGUACAUAUGUAUAACUUGUUAAUAUCCUGCUUCAAUUUCAAACUUCGGCGGUGGUUUUCCGAUUGCAAAUAAGUGAAUAUCAUUGGUGCAUUAUAGAGGUCAAAAAUAAGAAUUUUUCAACAGUUUUAAAAAAAAUCGAUUUUUUUAUGAUGGUUGUAACUCAAAAACUAAUCACUCACAAUCAGCAAGUACAUGUCAGCAGACAGAGGUGUGUCCAGACCUUCAUGGCUGGGGAGACAAUGAAUCAGCCAAUCAUUUUAUCCAAUCUUCACAUCAUUGUUUAAUAUUUUAAUUUAAACGAUUAAUGGUAAAACUCUCUAAUAAGUCGCUGGGGAGGCAGCUGCCACCCUGCUACCCCCGUAGACAGGCAAUGAUAGAACUUAAUACUAAUUUGGAUUGGUUUAAAUCAGAAAAAAGUAACUUAUCUUAAAAGGCAAUUAAGAAAAUACAAAAGAAAAAAAAGAAAAAUACAUGGAA